CUAUUUGACGUUAGCUGCAGAAGAAGCACCGGCUAACUCCGUGCCAGCAGCCGCGGUAAGUACGGGAGGGUGCGAGUACGUUAAGUACGGUAAUUACGUGGGUACGUAAAGCGCAUGCAGGUUGGUUUAGUUAAGUCAGAUGUAGAAACGGCCCGGGGCUACAACCGUACGGUAAUUGCUAUUUAGAAACGUGGACAAACUAGAGUACUGUAGAGGGGGUAGAAUUUCAGGUGUAGCGGUGAAAUGCGUAGAGAUCUGAAGGAAUACCGGUGGCGAAGGCGGCCCCCUGGACAGAUACUGACACUCAGAUGCGAAAGCGUGGGGAGCAAACAGGAUUAGAUACCCUGGUAG
rnacentral:rRNA from 1 species